GACGUAGGGCGCGAGCGUUGUCCGGAUUUAUUGGGCGUAAAGAGCUCGUAGGCGGCUUGUUGCGUCAGCUGUGAAAACCCGCAGCUCAACUGUGGGCUUGCAGCUGAUACGGGCAGGCUUGAGUUCGGUAGGGGAGACUGGAAUUCCUGGUGUAGCGGUGAAAUGCGCAGAUAUCAGGAGGAACACCGGUGGCGAAGGCGGCCCGCUGGGCAACUGCUGACACUGAGGCGCGACAGCGUGGGGAGCAAACAGG
rnacentral:rRNA from 1 species